AGCAGCCGCGGUAAUUCCAGCUCCAAUAGCGUAUAUUAAAGUUGUUGCAGUUAAAAAGCUCGUAGUUGAAUUUCGGGAUCAGUUGGUCGGUCGUGCCUCGGUACGUACUGGUCAAAUUGAUUCCUACCUUCUGACGAACCACGAUGUCAUUAAUUUGGUGUCGUGGGAAAUCAGGACUGUUACUUUGAAAAAUUAGAGUGUUUAAAGCAGGCUCGCGCUUGAAUACAUUAGCAUGGAAUAAUGAAAUAGGACGUUUGAUUCUAUUUUGUUGGUUUCUAGGAUCGACGUAAUGAUUAAUAGGGAUAGUUGGGGGCAUUAGUAUUCAAUUGUCAGAGGUGAAAUUCUUGGAUUUAUUGAAGACUAACUACUGCGAAAGCAUUUGCCAAGGAUGUUUUCAUUAAUCAAGAACGAAAGUUAGGGGAUCGAAGACGAUCAGAUACCGUCGUAGUCUUAACCAUAAACUAUGCCGACUAGGGAUCGGAUGAUGUUAAUUUUUAAUGUACUCAUUCGGCGCCUUAAC
rnacentral:rRNA from 1 species